CCAGGCCUUCAACACAGAUGGCCUGAUUCGCCCCUGCCUUGACCUUUGAGUGGCCAUUCCCAUCUGCGAAGAGCGUAAAGUGUCCCAGCCAGUGCAACGCCUUUUCCAAACACUGACCAAUUCUCACAACACUCCAGUGAAGCAGAAGGAUUUGUGCCAAAAAAGACUCCAUUUUAUCUCCAUGUGAUUGCAGCCGGGAUUAGAAUGAAGCUUGGAGAUCUCUGCACGCUCAUCAGAUUUCUCCAGAACCAAUGCUGGAAAGGAGAUCAGAUGUCUGCUCUCUGCCAUGGGACAUCCUUUGUGUCAUGAGCCAUUAUGAUCAUACUUCAACCUUUCUGCAUGUUGUAUUAAGAGAGUGGCACUGUGUGCACCCCUGGAUGAGUCUAGCAUAGUUCAACAAUCCAUCUGUAUCAGACACCUUUAUUUUAAAAGCUUUCCUCUGCCACUCCCUUCCCCACAGGGAACUGUGAUCUUCUUCACCCCCCCCCCUUUUUUUUUUUAAGAACAGGGUUACUAUUUUUUGUCUUUAUUUCUGCUAUCAGUGUUAACUCAGCCAUGGCACCACAAGCUGUAUUCAGAGUAACACUCCAAGCUAAAAGGGUUAGGCCCAGUCAGUACUCAGACAGGUGCGCUCUAGAGGAAGCUAGGAGUAGUGGAAUUGGUAGUGCAGAAAAUGGCUGUAAGCUGGUUGACUAGGCCAUCUUGUCCAACAAAAACAGUCCUGUGCCAAAGUGUAGCCACUAGAGCUGUGUGGAGGACAGAAACGUAAUUGCACAAAGGAUUUCAAAAUUGGGCUUCAUUCAGAAGUUUCAAAAUGCUCAGAGAAAAUUCUGAUCUUGUUUUGGAACAAUCAAAAUAUUUUGUUUUGAUGUUGACCUUUUAAAAUUUUAUAUUAGAAUAGAUCGUGCAAAAUUUUUAAAAUUUCAAAAUGAAAACCUGAAAUCUUUAGUUCCAAAAAUGUCAAAAUGGGUAUUUCAACAUUGUCAGAACUUUUAAUUGCCGUUUUUUCUCUGAAACAAAAUUCUGACAAAACUAACACCAUUUUGUGAGAUACCGUGUGGGUGAGGUAAUUUCUUUUAUUGAACCAAUUUCUGUUGGUGAGAGAGACGAGCUUUUAGGCUUACACAGAGCUUUUCUUCAGGUCUAGAAGAGCUCUGUGUAAGCUCGAAAGCUUGUCCUCUCUCACCAAGAGAUUGGUCCAAUAAAAGAGAUUACCUCAGCCAACUGGUCUCUCUAAUAUCCUGGGACUGACACAGCUACAUCAACACUGCGUACAAUGAUUUUGUGAAGCAUUUAGAUUGAGGGAACUGCAUUUUUUUUUCCAGCAAAAAAUAGUUCCUUCAGAGUUUUUUCUGACCAGUUCUAGUAGCUAAUUCCAAACAUUCAAGAAUUAUGAGUCAGGUUUCUCAGAUUUAUGAGAUUGAAAAUAAAUCUUACAAUUUUUAAGGCAAAUAACUUUGGAGAUGUUUUCAUUUGCCUUCUGGUUUUUGAGUCUUUGGGGGUUACAAGCUUUUCUAUGCAUCCACGAGGAUAAAAACAUUUGUUUUAAAUGAAAACUGAGAUUCACCUGCCUGCAGAAGCUGGAACUUUCAAAAAAAUACCAAAUCUCCUGGUAAAACAACAAGAAAUGGCAAAUGCACCAGUCCUGCAAAUGUGCUCUGAGGAUGCUCUUGUGGUUAAGUCAGUAGCACUGAAAUCAGCAGCAGGGGGUUCAGUGCCCAACUCCACCAUAGACUUCUUAUGUGCAUUUGGCAAGUCACUGAGGGACAGAAUUUCAAAGGCAUUUAGGUGCCUAAAGAUUCAGGCCUCUUGUGCGAUAUUUUUUUUUUUCAGGCAGGUCCCUAGUGCGGUGACAGUCAGCGUCCAGACAUACCAUGGGGAAAAUGGGGUCGGAACACUCAAGCAUAAGCAAUUGAAUUGACUGGUUGUAUACAUUUGUUAUUAUGUAGAAAUAUACAGCCAGUAAAAUCUUCUGUGAAGACAUAUAAUGUUCUUAACUCGAUAGUCAUUAGGAGAGAUGUAUACAGGUUAUGAAUGUAGGUAGAUGUAGAACCUUGUAAUUCUAACUGUAGUGCAAGAAUACCAUCACCUCCCAGCAGUGCGGGGAAGCAAGCCGGCAGGAAGGGUGUAAUGUCCGAGGUCUUGAACCCAGGCCUAGGAGU